rnacentral:rRNA from 1 species
AUGGCCGGCGCCGCCGGUUCCGCGCGGAAGGUAUCGGCCGUGCUGUACCACUACCCGUGCCCGGACGGCGCAUUCGCCGCGCUCGCCGCCCACCUCUACUUCUCCGCCGCCGCCCUCCCCGUCCGCUUCUUCCCCAACACCGUCUAUGACCCCAUCAGGAGCGAUGGUCUUCCGUUUGAUGAAAUCGAAGACGUUUACCUUCUUGACUUCGUAGGGCCUCCUGGUUUUGUUGCUGAUAUAGCCCCGAAAGUUCAGAGUGUAACAAUCUUAGACCAUCAUAAGACUGCCAUGGAAAGUCUGUGUGGGAGUGCCACACUUGGAGAAAACGUGAAUAAGGUGAUUGACAUGCAACGCAGUGGAGCAACAAUUGCAUUCGACUACUUUAGGAACAAGUUAUUAACAGAAGCUAGUACUUCACGGAAUCAUGGAAGUGGUAAUUCUGUAACUGAAAUGAAAUAUCUACCUGAAAACAAGCUUGAAAUGGUGCACAAGCUUUUCAAGUUUAUUGAGGAUGGAGAUCUGUGGAGAUGGACUAUUCCGAAUAGCAAGGCCUUCAGCAGUGGCCUCAAAGAUCUGAACAUUGAAUUUAAUGUCAAUUCAAAUGGGAAGUUAUUUGAUCAGUUGCUGGAGUUGGAUCCCGAGCAAGUCAUUUCUCGGGGACAAGUAACAUUAUCGCAGAAGCAAACAUUAAUUGAUGAUUGUUUGCAGAAGUCCUUUGAAAUUGCACUAGGAUGUGGCCAGUUUGGGAAUUGUCUGGCUGUCAAUGCUGAUGCUAUUUCAAUGCUGAGAAGCGAACUCGGAAAUCAGCUCGCUAACAAGAGUCGGAAUUCCAAUCUGAGAGCUAUUGGCGCUGUAGUAUAUAAAGUCCCCAAGUUGAAUAACGACGAGAUGCUAAAAAUCAGCCUGAGAAGUUUGGGACAAGAAGACACGACUUCUAUCUCCCAGGAAUUCGGAGGUGGGGGGCAUCGAAACGCAAGCUCAUUUCUGUUGAGUGUUGCAGAAUUUGAGAAGUGGAAGGUUGGAGCUGAGCCUUCCAAUGCAGAAACUGCCUAG